rfam:Leeuwenhoekiella marinoflava DSM 3653 genome assembly, contig: EJ63DRAFT_scaffold00020.20
GUAACUGCGAAGUUACAUCUGAAGAAAUGCAUCGCAUUCACGAAUACCUUAAAAUUCAAAUAACAAAGAAUAAGUAAAGCGGGACUACAAUCCCGAUAUCCUGUCGGGACCGGUACUGACGAACAGGAACCGUAUACAGAGGCAUAUUUACUUGGGUAAGCAAGCACAUCAUUGUAACGCCCUAAGAAUACCAAAAGUGUAUUAAUGUAGAUACGGCAGUGAUCGGGGGAAAGAAGAUGUU